rnacentral:rRNA from 1 species
CCUACGGGGAGCAGCAGUGAGGAAUAUUGGUCAAUGGACGCAAGUCUGAACCAGCCAAGUAGCGUGAAGGAUGACUGCCCUAUGGGUUGUAAACUUCUUUUAUAAAGGAAUAAAACGAGGCACGUGUGCCUUUUUGCAUGUACUUUAUGAAUAAGGAUCGGCUAACUCCGUGCCAGCAGCCGCGGUAAUACGGAGGAUCCGAGCGUUAUCCGGAUUUAUUGGGUUUAAAGGGAGCGUAGAUGGGUUGUUAAGUCAGUUGUGAAAGUUUGCGGCUCAACCGUAAAAUUGCAAUUGAUACUGGCAGUCGUGAGUACAGUUGAGGUAGGCGGAAUUCGUGGUGUAGCGGUGAAAUGCUUAGAUAUCACGAAGAACCCCGAUUGCGAAGGCAGCUUACUAAACUGUGACUAACAUUGAUGCUCGAAAGUGUGGGUAUCAAACAGGAUUAGAUACCCCAGUAGUC